rnacentral:rRNA from 1 species
UACGGGGGGAGCAAGCGUUGUUCGGAUUUACUGGGCGUAAAGGGCGCGUAGGCGGCCACCGCAAGUCGACUGUGAAAUCUCCGGGCUUAACCCGGAAAGGUCAGCCGAUACUGCGGGGCUAGAGUGCAGAAGGGGCAACUGGAAUUCUCGGUGUAGCGGUGAAAUGCGUAGAUAUCGAGAGGAACACCUGCGGCGAAGGCGGGUUGCUGGGCUGACACUGACGCUGAGCGCGAAAGCUAGGGGAGCGAACGGG